rnacentral:tRNA from 1 species
GAUAUAGCUCAAUGGUAGAGCACUCGCCUAGCAUGCACGAGGCUCUGGGUUCAAUUGCCAGUAUC